UACAGAGGGGGCAAGCGUUGUUCGGAAUUACUGGGCGUAAAGGGCGCGUAGGCGGCCCGCUAAGUCGAACGUGAAAUCCCCCGAGCUCAACUCGGGAACUGCGUCCGAUACUGGCGGGCUUGAAUCCGGGAGAGGGAUGCGGAAUUCCAGGUGUAGCGGUGAAAUGCGUAGAUAUCUGGAGGAACACCGGUGGCGAAGGCGGCAUCCUGGACCGGCAUUGACGCUGAGGCGCGAAAGCUAGGGGAGCAAACGGGG
rnacentral:rRNA from 1 species